rnacentral:rRNA from 1 species
GACGAACGCUGGCGGCGUGCUUAACACAUGCAAGUCGAACGGAAAGGCCCUGCUUUUGUGGGGUGCUCGAGUGGCGAACGGGUGAGUAACACGUGAGUAACCUGCCCUUGACUUUGUGAUAACUUCAGGAAACUGGGGCUAAUACCGGAUAGGAGCUCCUGCUGCAUGGUGGGGGUUGGAAAGUUUCGGCGGUUGGGGAUGGACUCGCGGCUUAUCAGCUUGUUGGUGGGGUAGUGGCUUACCAAGGCUUUGACGGGUAGCCGGCCUGAGAGGGUGACCGGCCACAUUGGGACUGAGAUACGGCCUAGACUCCUACGGGAGGCAGCAGUGGGGAAUAUUGCACAAUGGGCGGAAGCCUGAUGCAGCAACGCCGCGUGCGGGAUGACGGCCUUCGGGUUGUAAACCGCUUUCGCAUGUGACGAAGCGUGAGUGACGGUAAUGGGUAAAGAAGCACCGGCUAACUACGUG